rnacentral:misc_RNA from 1 species
AAAGUCGUAACAAGGUUUCCGUAGGUGAACCUGCGGAAGGAUCAUUACCGUGAAGCGGCCGGGUUCGCCCGCGCCCGCUCCCAAAACCGUGUCUACCAGCCAGUUGCUUUGACGGGACGUCGGGCUCAGGCCUGCCGGUACCGGCCCGUCAGUGGAGCGCCCCCCCAAACCUAGUGUCACACGCAGUCCGAGACGGCGAGAAACAAACAAAACUUUCAACAACGGAUCUCUUGGUUCCG